rnacentral:rRNA from 1 species
AAUACAUCGUGACGUGCCAGUCGUGGGGGCAUAACUACUCGAAAGAGUAGCUAAUACCGAUACGAUCUGAGGAUGAAAGCGGGGGACCUUCGGGCCUCGCGCGAUUGGAGCGGGCGAUGGGCAGAUUAGCUAGUUGGGUGAGGUAAAGGGUCAACCAAGGGCGAACGAUCCUGGUAAGCGGGUCUUGGACAGAAGGGAUUGAUCCGGCAAAACUGGAACUUGGAAGAACACCGGGUCCAAACUCCCUACGGGAGGCAGCAGUGGGGAAUUUUUGGACAAUGGGCGCAAGCCUGAUCCAGCCAUGCCGCGUGAGUGAAGAAGGCCUUCGGGUUGUAAAGCUCUUUCAGCCGGGAAGAAAACGCAUGGGUUAAUACCCUGUGUGGAUGACGGUACCGGAAUAAGAAGCACCGGCUAACUACGUGCCAGCAGCCGCGGUAAUACGUAGGGUGCGAGCGUUAAUCGGAAUUACUGGGCGUCAAAGCGUGCGCANGCGGCUGCAAGAUAGGCGGUGCAAUUCCCGGGGGCUCAACCUGGGAACUUGGCCGUUUCAANUUUCGAACCUUUGGGGGCACGGGCUUAACAGAAGCGCNAUUUCGGGCA